UACGUAGGGCGCGAGCGUUAAUCGGAAUUACUGGGCGUAAAGCGUGCGCAGGCGGUCUGUUAAGACCGAUGUGAAAUCCCCGGGCUUAACCUGGGAACUGCAUUGGUGACUGGCAGGCUUUGAGUGUGGCAGAGGGAGGUAGAAUUCCACGUGUAGCAGUGAAAUGCGUAGAGAUGUGGAGGAAUACCGAUGGCGAAGGCAGCCUCCUGGGCCAACACUGACGCUCAUGCACGAAAGCGUGGGGAGCAAACAGG
rnacentral:rRNA from 1 species